rnacentral:lncRNA from 1 species
AGAUACUUCUUGAUUUUGUCUCAGUAAUUUGAAGAUGGAUUUGCAAGUAGCGGUCAAAUGGGAGCUAAAUCGGGCGACGUGGUCCAGAUUUACGAUUUCGAUCGAUGCCCCAUGCGGCUGAAUAGUCUUUUCUUCUUGCAGUAGUCUGACAAGUUCUCCAGGUACUUAACAAUCUUCCUCACUUCCAUCCCCGGCUUGGUAGAUCGGAUUUUCAAAGUCGUAAUGAACAGUAGCAGAAUCACUAUCAACAGGAUCCAGAGUGGAUAUGGAUCUGCGAUUUGUUACGUGAGUGUGUGCAAGAAAACAUAGCU